rnacentral:rRNA from 1 species
UAGGGAAUCUUCCACAGUGGACGAAAGUCUGAUGGAGCAACGCCGCGUGAGUGAAGAAGGUUUUCGGAUCGUAAAGCUCUGUUGUUGGUGAAGAAGGAUAGAGGCAGUAACUGGUCUUUAUUUGACGGUAAUCAACCAGAAAGUCACGGCUAACUACGUGCCAC